UCAGACAUGGUGUAAUGGGAGCACAGCCUCCUUCUAUUCUGGGAAUAUCGAGGAUAAAUUGAGAGGCAGUCCAGGGUUCGACUCCCAGUGUCUGAA